AAGGACUCAUAGUCUGAUGAUAAAAAUUGUACUUCCUAUGGGAAAAAGAGAUGUGUUUCUCCACAUGGUAAGAUGAAUAGAAGAUCAUGGAAUACUCCCGAAAGAGUAAUAGUCACAAAUAUGUUCAAAGAACACAUUUCCCAUAAUGAAAUAAUCUCCCUGGUUGAAUGUAAAAUGGUUAUAAGUUCGAAUUCAACUCUACAAAAUAAGACUCCUACGCAGCUGAAAGCAUGAGCAGCGAAUCAAAUAAAUAAGAAGAAAAUCGGGGUCUGGAGUGAUCGUUCAGAAGAGAGUUUAUUGGCCCCGUGAAGAGAAGCGAAUCAUGGAGAUGGAAUUUCAUAGACAUUUACGUGAUGGUAUAUUACCUGGGCUAGAAUUAUGCAAAGAAAUUCAGAAUAAAUAUUCAGAAUUGAAGAACAGAACUCCCGAAAUGAUGAAGGCCUGGGUCAACAAUUCCAUCCGGAAGAGACUGAGAGAGUGAAAUACCUAUUAUGAUUAAGAUUAAGAUUUUGUACAUUGAAUGGCAAAAUAGAAGAUAUAUGAAUUGAAAAAUAUAUAUUUUGAUCCAGAUGCAAAUAAGAAUAAUAAUAAUAAUUAAUAAAAAUAAGACUUCCUUACCACGUGGCACCUGGCGCACCACGUGGGACAUUUAGCCUUCCCUGCCGUAUGGGGUCACUGCGGUGGGGUGACUUUUAUUUACGCCCGACUCGUAGGAUUCAACAUGAACAUUGAAACUUGAA